GUGUUUGCUUUGGGAGCACAUAUAGUAAAAUCGGAAUGAAAACACUAGAGAAGACUAGCAUGGCCCUGAACAAAGAUGACAGGCAAAUCUGUGAAGCAUUCCUAUUUUUU